UAUAAAUAAAUAUUGUUGAUGACAUUAAAACUCUCUCUAUAGUGGCACUAUUCUAAUCCUCGGAUCGAGAUAGUUAUUCUGAUCCGGAUCGACCCUGUAUAGAGGCGACUGGAUAUUCGAGAACUCCACGAAUCGGUGUCGGCAGAAAAAAAAAACCACCCCGUGGCCACGAAGUGAUGGAACCACCACCCUCCUUCCCACGGCGAUCCCCGGAUCUGGAUCUCCAGCCCCGCCAUGGACCACCGUGCCACCUCACCGGGCACCCCCGCCACCGCGUGCCCUCCCAAAUUCCCCAAAGCGACCUUCCCAGGGCGCCGAAGCGACCUUCCCAAGACGCCGCCGCCGCCUUCCUAGAGCGCCGCCGCGACCUGCCCAUGGAGCCGUCGCCGCCAUCUACCACGCGCCUCUCUCCAUCCUGAGACCGCAUCCAGCCACCUCCCUCCAUCCCCACCACGCCCCCACGGCAGGACCUCUGCCGACCUCCGCAGCCGACGACCCCAUCUGCUGGCUCAUUUGCACUCGACCGUGAUCCCCCAUCUCGCUGCAACCUUGCUGUUGCACGCCACCUCCUCCUCCUAAGGCGUGGUGUGAACUGUGAACAGAACAGUGGUUGGACUAGCAGCAGUUAACUGUAUCAACGCGGAUUUCGCCACCUCGCAUGCGUUCGUCUUCAUCGACGGCGGUUGACACCUCCAACGCAUGACAGACCCGCUCUCCUAGCUCCUGUUGCUUCCACGGUAAUUGGUCAUGCGCUCCUCCGACGCAUGAUGAGCUGCCCCCUGGUUCUUCUUAUGCUCAUGGCGUUGGAGCAUGCUGCAACUUCCGUUCAUUUCUGAAACUCAACUCCCUCCACUUUAGUCAACGUCAGUUGUUCUUGUAGGCAGGUUUGAACUGUCUAAAAACUGAAAAAAGGAAUGCGUUAAUUCAGUAUAGCUACUCAACACAAAAUGGUGAAGUGUAUGUUCCUUUUUGUGGUUUUUUGUGUGCUCGUAUUUGCAUAAUUUACCUCAAUGAAAAAUCACUUACUUUUCUA